GCCAAAAGGGCAGUAGAGACUACAGGAAGUCAAAGAAGCCAGAAAUGUGGGACAUCUACUGAGAAAGAACACCAGAGUGUCAUGGAAAUGAAAGUUGAUUGAAUAUUUGUCGCAGACAAUUCACAAUGUGGAGCCACAGAGAAGCAAAUGAACCAAGAAGAGCUGAGAAGCUGCUGCUCGUGAUUGCUCAUCGAGGAAGCAGAGGCAGGACUGUAACCGAGGUCUGCAGCCUAAAAUGCCCACAUUCUUUACAACCACCUCAGUGUCACUUCAAACAUCCAUUGUAGACAUAGCUCUGUUAAUUUUGGUCCUUUCACAAAAUAAAUGCAUACGGUAGCUGAGGCUUUGUUCAACAGAAUGAAAAAAACUAGAAUACGAAAAAAGUAAUUAUACUUUACUAUGUCUCUAGAAACUUAUGUAUUGACAUGAGGACUAUUUGAAUCAAUUUCCACUUAACUUGUGCCUUUUUAUGCUUUUCAAUUUCCCAUCCCAUUAAAAAAAAAUUCUAAAUUAUCCUUUAA